AAUACCAACCGCAAUAUAUAAGCAAAAAAUUUGGGGUUUCUUCGUCGGAGGCCGCUAUCGAUCCUCUCCGUUCUCUAGUCGUCUUCUCUCAUCACAGGCAUUUGCAAGGAGCAAAACCCAUUACUUUGUGAACAAGGGUUUCUUUCCUUCAAAUUCAUUCCUGUUGGAUAAUAUUGAAAAGAUCAGGUGUAUUAAUUUAAUAAUUGUACAGUUUCAGGAAAUGGACUUAUGAGGAGUUGAACUUGUCUCCUAGUUUAUUAUUUUGCUUCGGUCUUUUUGAAUGGCUUGAAGUCUGCUUAAAAGGAGUUGAUGGCUUCAAAGUUGCAGCAGUUGCAAUCCAAGGCUGCUCAAGCAUCACAGUUCGUGGUAAAGCAUGGAUGUGCAUACCACAAGCAGUUGUUAGAGCAGAACAAGCAAUAUGUGCAGGAGCCACCAACUGUGGAGAAAUGCAAUUUGUUGGCAAAGCAACUAUUCUACACUCGCCUUGCUAGUAUCCCUGGUCGUUAUGAAUCUUUCUGGAAGGAGCUUGAUUAUGUCAAGCACAUGUGGAAGAACAGGCAGGAACUUAAGGUCGAGGAUGCUGGUAUUGCUGCCUUGUUUGGGCUGGAGUGCUAUGCAUGGUUCUGUGCUGGUGAGAUUGUAGGAAGGGGAUUUACAUUCACUGGUUACUACGUCUGAAAACAACCAUUUGGUUAGAAGAGUUUGAGGGUGUUGAAUUUGUAAGCCUCUCUUGUCAUCUGGUUGGUUUCAAUCACUUUCCUACAUGCCAAUUUUUGUAUUUCUGCAAAAAAUUUUAAGCUGAGGAAUCAGUAAGUUUGAUAGCACCAAUAAUCCAUGUACUUGCAUUUGUGUGAAGUGGCUUAUAUGGAAGAGCCUUCAAGUGUUCUGUUAAUUCCAUUGGAUGUCGUGCUCUUCAAUGCAGACACGUUAAUGCAAAAACAUAAUGGCAGUCGAGCUUUUAAUGUGGUUGACCGAUCA